rnacentral:tRNA from 1 species
AAAGUUUUAGUAUAAUUUUUAGUAUGUGCUAUUGUCAAUAGUGUGGUUUAAACUUUGU